rnacentral:rRNA from 1 species
UGGGGAAUAUUGCACAAUGGGGGAAACCCUGAUGCAGCGACGCCGCGUGAGCGAAGAAGUAUUUCGGUAUGUAAAGCUCUAUCAGCAGGGAAGAAAAAAUGACGGUACCUGACUAAGAAGCACCGGCUAAAUACGUGCCAGCAGCCGCGGUAAUACGUAUGGUGCAAGCGUUAUCCGGAUUUACUGGGUGUAAAGGGAGCGCAGGCGGUGCGGCAAGUCUGAUGUGAAAGCCCGGGGCUCAACCCCGGUACUGCAUUGGAAACUGUCGUACUAGAGUGUCGGAGGGGUAAGUGGAAUUCCUAGUGUAGCGGUGAAAAUGCGUAGAUAUUGCGCAGAACUCCGAUUGCGAAGGCAGCGUACUGGCGCCUGACUGACGCUGAGGCACGAAAGCGUGGGGAUCGAACAGGAUUAGAUACC